rnacentral:rRNA from 1 species
GCCCAGACUCCUACGGGAGGCAGCAGUAGGGAAUCUUCCACAAUGGACGAAAGUCUGAUGGAGCAACGCCGCGUGAGCGAUGAAGGCCUUCGGGUCGUAAAGCUCUGUUGUUAGGGAAGAACAAGUACCGGAGUAACUGCCGGUACCUUGACGGUACCUAACCAGAAAGCCACGGCUAACUACG